rfam:Pan troglodytes isolate Yerkes chimp pedigree #C0471 (Clint) chromosome 2B, whole genome shotgun sequence.
GCCGGGCGCGGUGGCUCACGCCUGUAAUCCCAGCACUUUGGGAGGCCGAGGCGGGUGGAUCGCCAGAGGUCAGGAGUUCAAGACCAGCCUGACCAACAUGGUGAAACCCCGUCUCUA